rfam:Dipodomys ordii contig_15042, whole genome shotgun sequence.
GGAUCGAUGUUGAGCACAAGGGUCUGAGGAUGGCCGAAGGACUCAAUGCAGACAUUAAGCAGAGAACU